rnacentral:snRNA from 1 species
AUGCUUACUUUAGCAGCACAUAUUCUAAAAUUAGAACAAUACAGAGAAGAUUAGUAUGGCCCCUGUUCAAGGAUGACAUGCAAAUUCAUGAAGUCUUCCAUAUUUUU